rnacentral:rRNA from 1 species
GGGAGCGCACAACCGGUGGAGCAUGUGGUUUAAUUCGAUACAAAGCGAAAAACCUUACCUGGGUUUGACAUGUACCUGCACGGCUUAGGAAACUAAGUCUUCUUCGAGAGUGGUACACAGGUGUUGCAUGGCUGUCGUCAGCUCGUGUCGUGAGGCGUCCACUUAAGUGUGGUAACGAGCGCAACCCUUAUCUCGUGUUACAAGUGUCACGAGAGACUGCCCUGCUUUUUGCAGGGAGGAAGGAGAGGAUGACGUCAAGUCAGCACGACCCUUACAUCCAGGGCUACACACAUCCUACAAUGGAGCCGACAACGGGAAGCAAGACCGCAAGGUGGAGCUAAUCCUUAAACGGCCCCUCAGUUCAGAUUGUGGGCUGCAAUUCGCCCACAUGAAGUCGGAAUCGGUAGUAAUCGCAAAUCAGCAGGUUGCGGUGAAUACGUUCUCGCUCCUU